rnacentral:lncRNA from 1 species
AUCCUGGUUCUUCUUGCUAGUGGUGUGAUCUUGAAGAAGUUAUUCAACCUCUCUUGAGCUUGGUUGCAUCAUCCGAAAAAUAAGGAUAAUAAUGCCUUCCUCAUAAGGCACCAUACCAUCUCACGUCAUCACAAGAAGAAGAAGGGUGAGGACAGCACAGUAAGAUACUUGGAGAGAGAGAGACAACACAUUCACAGGGUACGUUCCAAGACCACCAGUGGAUGCCUGAAACUGCGCGUAGUACCAAACCCGAUAUGUACAGCUUGCAAACUGUGGCAGAAGCUGGCUAGAUGCCCAACAAUCCCCUUUCCUCUCUCCUAAGCACGGACUCCAGAGGCUACUCAGCUAAGAAGACAUUGUCACAGAUGGAAGGAGCCAGAUCCCCAAAUCAUCACUUGGAGAAGAGACACCCCAGACAGCCAACAACCAGCAUCAAAUUAUGAAAUAAAUCUUUA